rnacentral:lncRNA from 1 species
GUGUGGCAGCCGCUGGAGGAGGUUUCCAGCCAAACCCUAGCCUGGGCUUGUGCUGACUCUGUGGUUAGAUGGAAGGUGGAACUGGCAGGGCCGGUUCUGACAGCCUGACUCACCAGCUUCUUCAGCCCCCUGCCUCUCGCCACGGGCACAGUGUGGUGUGGGAAUGCAUGCAGGAAUGCCAGACUGUGGGCUCCCAGCCCUGGCCGGGGCGCUGGGCGGGCUGGGGCUGAGGCUGGAGCUAAUGGAGAUCCGGAGAGCCUGUGGGCUUGGGAAAAGGAGACUCUGAGAGUCCUGCUGCUCGGAGAAUCAUCAGAUGUCAGCACGGAGUGGCCGGACUCGACGGGACCCCAACACCCCAUGUUAGCAGAAAGGAAACUGGUGGGAAGCCUUUCCCAAGACCAGACAUCGACUCCUGGCAGAGCUGGGAUUUCCUGACAAUGAUAUUGAGACGUCAUUUUUUAUGGCUUCUGAGCUGCUUCCCCAGCCAAAAAUGACUUACCUGAGAAUGGAUUCAUUCCACAUCUGGGUCCAUCCACAGUGGAGAAUUCCAUUUCCAAAUACCCACGCGCGUGCUCUGUUUCCUUGCUCCUACGAGACCUAGCUCCCUGAGGAGGUCGCAGAGUAGGACCCGCCACACGUCUGGGGCCCCACCCAGUCAAAAAAGACCUUUGCAUAAGUUUCAAAGGAACGGGAGCUCGGAGAUGCCAGAAACCCAGAGAUUUCCAGGCCUGGAGGACAGGGCAGGCGAGCAAAGGAUGGCCCAAGUUUGCGAGGUUCCAGUCCUUCUGUACUCGGUGCCACUCAGCCACGUCUGGUGUGAGGCCCCAUUCAGAGCUCCGUUCUUAAGAGGGACGAUGACAGCCUGAGACGUGGUUGCAGAAGGGUGGCCAAGGCAGUGGGAGGGGCAUUGCAGCCUGCGCUGUAAGGAAAGGGAAAGACACUGAGAAGGUCUCGCCUGGAUCUGAGGACACUCGGGGCCACGGGAUGGCUGUGCAAACAAACCACCCUCUGUGUGGCUCAGGCUUGUUUUAAACAUCACGGAGCCCUGAGCAGAAGGGAAGGCCCAGGGCCAUGCUGGGAAGCCGGCGAGAAGCUCCGAGGGCAGCCACAAGAGGUCUGACGCUUGCUACGAGGAGACGAAGGAGGAGGGAAGAAAAGAGCCAAGCAUCCGGCCUCCAAGCCUCAUUCCUCGUCCCCUGUGGCCCCAUCAGCAUCAUUUCACACAGCGGGUCCCUCCCCGCAUCCAGCCACACUUCCCUCACUUGCUUCCGGAUGCCACCGUCUCCUGGGUGCCCCCCCACCCCGUUCACUGGCCACUCUCGUUCCCUUUGGCUGAUUCUCCACCGUCUUUGAGCCUCUUCUCUCUCCAUCUGUGCUCACUCCCUUGCUCACCUCACCUAGUCUUACGGCUUAAAAGCUCUCCGAUCUUUCCUCAAAGAUGGCUGGGGUCGGGCCCCAAUUAGUCUAGACUCUUUAGAAUGCGGGCACUUGGCAGCAGUUUGUCCCUGCUGCGUCCUGAUUGCCA